CCUGUUUUAGGUUACUUGUAUC
rnacentral:miRNA from 1 species